rnacentral:lncRNA from 1 species
UGUGGAGAGAUGGCCGUCUGCACCAACCUGCUGCAGGGCCAGAUGUCCGAGUGGGCCCUACUCAAACGCCACCAGUGUGAGGACAUCUUUGGCGUCCAGCUGGAGGGCGCCUUCCCCGACACCAUGACCAAGUGUGCCGAGCUGCUGAGCCGCACCGUGGAGGUGGACUUUGUGGACAUCAACGUCGGCUGCCCCAUCGACCUCGUGUACAAGAAGGUAGCGGCCCUGGACGUGUGCCUCGGUUUCCCC